CCCAGCCCGAGCGGCUCCCGCAGCCGGAGACGGGAGCGAGCGGCAGCUCCUCCGCGGCAGCGGAACGGGGCGCGGGGAUGUGAGGGGCGCACCCGGCGGAGGAGGGAAGUCCCGUCGCCGGGAAGGCAGUCGAGAGCUCCUCCACACUGCAAGGGUUGUAAAUGAGCGUGGCAGAAAGCAGAGGAGUUUGUGGUAACAGAUAAAGAUUGGAAUAACAGCAUCUGGAUCCCACAAGAAGUCUCCAGGGAUACUGUAUUUCUGAGAACCAGGAUCUCACCUGGACCUCUCAAAGGACUACACAGAGGACCUA